UGGGGAAUAUUGGGCAAUGGGCGAAAGCCUGACCCGGCAACGCCGCGUGAGGGAAGAAGGUUUUCGGAUUGUAAACCUCUGUCCUCAGGGACGAAGGAAGUGACGGUACCUGAGGAGGAAGCCCCGGCUAACUACGUGCCAGCAGCCGCGGUAAUACGUAGGGGGCAAGCGUUGUCCGGAAUGACUGGGCGUAAAGGGCGUGUAGGCGGCCUGAUAAGUAUGAAGUGAAAGUCCUGCUUUCAAGGUGGGAAUUGCUUUGUAGACUGUCGGGCUUGAGUGCGGAAGAGGUAAGUGGAAUUCCCAGUGUAGCGGUGAAAUGCGUAGAGAUUGGGAGGAACACCAGUGGCGAAGGCGACUUACUGGGCCGUAACUGACGCUG
rnacentral:rRNA from 1 species